AGAGUUUGAUCCUGGCUCAGAUUGAUUGCUGGCGGCAGGCCUAACACAUGCAAGUCGAGCGGUAGAGAGAAGCUUGCUUCUCUUGAGAGCGGCGGACGGGUGAGUAAUGCCUAGGAAUCUGCCUGGUAGUGGGGGAUAACGUUCGGAAACGGACGCUAAUACCGCAUACGUCCUACGGGAGAAAGCAGGGGACCUUCGGGCCUUGCGCUAUCAGAUGAGCCUAGGUCGGAUUAGCUAGUUGGUGAGGUAAUGGCUCACCAGGGCGACGAUCCGUAACUGGUCUGAGAGGAUGAUCAGUCACACUGGAACUGAGACACGGUCCAGACUCCUACGGGAGGCAGCAGUGGGGAAUAUUGGACAAUGGGCGAAAGCCUGAUCCAGCCAUGCCGCGUGUGUGAAGAAGGUCUUCGGAUUGUAAAGCACUUUAAGUUGGGAGGAAGGGCAGUAAAUUAAUACCUUGCUGUUUUGACGUUACCGACAGAAUAAGCACCGGCUAACUCUGUGCCAGCAGCCGCGGUAAUACAGAGGGUGCAAGCGUUAAUCGGAAUUACUGGGCGUAAAGCGCGCGUAGGUGGUUUGUUAAGUUGGAUGUGAAAUCCCCGGGCUCAACCUGGGAACUGCAUUCAAAACUGACUGACUAGAGUAUGGUAGAGGGUGGUGGAAUUUCCUGUGUAGCGGUGAAAUGCGUAGAUAUAGGAAGGAACACCAGUGGCGAAGGCGACCACCUGGACUAAUACUGACACUGAGGUGCGAAAGCGUGGGGAGCAAACAGGAUUAGAUACCCUGGUAGUCCACGCCGUAAACGAUGUCAACUAGCCGUUGGAAGCCUUGAGCUUUUAGUGGCGCAGCUAACGCAUUAAGUUGACCGCCUGGGGAGUACGGCCGCAAGGUUAAAACUCAAAUGAAUUGACGGGGGCCCGCACAAGCGGUGGAGCAUGUGGUUUAAUUCGAAGCAACGCGAAGAACCUUACCAGGCCUUGACAUCCAAUGAACUUUCUAGAGAUAGAUUGGUGCCUUCGGGAACAUUGAGACAGGUGCUGCAUGGCUGUCGUCAGCUCGUGUCGUGGGAUGUUGGGUUAAGUCCCGUAACGAGCGCAACCCUUGUCCUUAGUUACCAGCACGUCAUGGUGGGCACUCUAAGGAGACUGCCGGUGACAAACCGGAGGAAGGUGGGGAUGACGUCAAGUCGUCAUGGCCCUUACGGCCUGGGCUACACACGUGCUACAAUGGUCGGUACAGAGGGUUGCCAAGCCGCGAGGUGGAGCUAAUCCCACAAAACCGAUCGUAGUCCGGAUCGCAGUCUGCAACUCGACUGCGUGAAGUCGGAAUCGCUAGUAAUCGCGAAUCAGAAUGUCGCGGUGAAUACGUUCCCGGGCCUUGCCCUCAACGGCCGUC
rnacentral:rRNA from 1 species